GGAAAAAAAAACUGCGACGCGAGCUAUGUAAUGUUAUGGUUACUUUUAAACAGUAAAACAGUAAAUGCGUCUCUUAAAAUAAAAUUGUUUGUUUUAUGUUUAAAGUCCUUAAUUUAUUAAAUCCGGUAACAAACAAACAGGAAUCCUCUGAUAAUUAUGCAACAAGUUUGAUAAACACUUUAGCAAGGAGCGGAGUGCAUGAGCAAGUGUUGUUUCUACUAUUAGUUUUCAUACACAUUUUUUGCAAAACAUCAGGAAUACAUUUAUUGAGAACGUAUCAUCAGUGACUGAAAUCUACCGAAAAAAUCGUUUGCGCAUGUUGGAUGGUAUUUGAGAUCUAUAAAUAAGAUUUUUCAGCACGUCAGAAAUCAAGUAAGUCCAAACCAGCACAUGAAAUUGCAACAACUUUAGAUCAAAACAUAAAAGUUGAAUAUAUGAGGUGUGUUCAAAAAGUAAGGUGACUUUUUUAAUUGGGCGGACGAUGUACAUUGGACCUUCGAUAUUUUUUUUUGUUACGUUGGUACACAUGACCCUAACAUAUGUUCACAAUUUCAGCCAGUUUGCACGUUUAUUUUUUUUUGCGAGACAGAAGGGUUGGACGUGGAACGAAAAAUGGAACAAAGUAUUUGUAUAAAAUUUUCUGUAAAAAAUGGAAUACGGUGCUGCAAAACACUUGAAAUGUUGACAACAGCAUAUGGUUUGAGCAAAAAGAAUAUUUUUAAGUGGUACAAGCUGUUCCAAGAUGGCCGACACAACGCCGAUGACGAACCUCGCUUUGGACGCCCCAGCACCGAAAGUUUGGGCAUGAAAUGUGUAACAGCAAAAUUUGGUCCGAAACUGCUUAACUUUGAACGAAAGGACCGUCAAAUGAGCAUUGAUAUGACGUCGAAACCAAAGGUAUGAUCUUGCAAAACGCGGCGACAACAGAACAUAUAUCAAUAGCACCUUAUUUGAAAUCGUAUAAUUUAGUAUUUAAUAGAGCCCAUGGGAAACGACAGUGAAAAAAAGCAAAAAAAAAGGGGGACUCCGGAAGCCAUAUCGGAGCACGAGGAAACAUACAGAUCAUUGUGGUGCGAGGAAGCGUAAAAUCGGGACCCGACACAAGGCGACUGCAUGAGAAUCCGGAAAGAAAAGGGUGCCAUUGCCGAGUCAGUAGUUCCCCAGACUAUGAAAUACGAUCUACUAAUAUAAAGGGGACUUGAAUACGUAUUCAAAUAUACAAAUUUGAUUUAGAUUCGCCGGGUAGCGAGGACGCGACAGUUUCAUACAUCGAUAUAAUAUUUUUGUAGUGGUUUGGAAUUUUAAUUCUAUUUUAUGGUGGUUAUUAUAUCUUAUUUUCCUGCGUAAUUUGUCCGAAAAGCAAAAAUCGAUUAUAACUUGCAUCUUAAGCUUUCAAUGGUGGUUGAUAUUAAAGUGAACAUUAAUAUUAUUAAAAGAUUAAUAACAAUUAUGGACGCAAUUGUCAAUUCGGCAAUGCUUGGUUUAGGUGACAAGUACAAGAAGUUCCAUUUUACUGGACGAGUUGACAAAUUCUGCGGAAUCUUGCGAGUCCAGUAAUACAACUUUCGGGAAGUGUUACGAACAAUAUAUGUUUUUUAAACCGACUCAGUGUUGUACAUAUAAACUUUUUAUGAGAGAAAUCUUUAUUAAUAUUUUCUCACAAACUGAAAGUUUUGUUUAGUAAAAAAUAUACAUAUUAUUUUUGUAUAUUGAUAUUAAACAACUAUUAUCAAUCUAUCAAAUCUUAUAAGAACAUCCUUUGGUUUGAGUAAUUUUAAAAAAGUAGCUAUUUCGAAAGGAGCUUUAGCUACUGCAUGCAUGCGUAAGGCUUGUUGAAUACAUUUUAAUUUAUUGUGAUGAAUAAAGAGACCUAGAUGAGGAAAGUUAGCCAGGCGUAAAACUGGAGACCAUAUAUAAAUUUAUUUCCUUUCCUCAAUUAAUUAUGAAUGACCCAUGAUAAUUUGUUUUGGUGUUUGGAAUUCUAACCAAACGCUUGGUUUGUUUGUCUCUUAUGUCGUCAGUUAAUAUAUUAGUAAUUUCUAUUGUCUAUAUGCUCCAGUAUAACUCAUAAUCAACAAAAUUUUGACCAUAAGAAAGUGUUCAUCUGGUGCUUCUACUGAGAAUUUUCAGAUAUCCAUUUUGUAUAUAAUAUUCUCGAUUUGUUGAGUUUAGCUUUUCUGAGUUUUCUGGUAAAUAUAGCAAUAAAACAUCUCCUUAAAUAUUUAUGGCCUUUUUUUAGGCACAACUUUUCAAAAAUUUGGUAUAUUUCGCUCGUAUCGUGACGUGUAUCACUUGCCCGGGUCGGCAAAAGUAACACACAAAAGGUCUCUUAAAAUUUUAGAUUGGCAAAUAGCUUCCAAUUCGAGGAAGGAAUUUAAAUGACGUCGAUGUAUUAGAGACCGCCAGCGGUACAAUUAAGGAAGGACUUAGCUCCAAACUCUUAACGCAGCUCUGUUUGAAAUUAAAUUAUUUGUUCCCGCGAUACACACAUCGAAUCAUUUCGCGGUUUGCGUUUCACAUCCGAACAAACCAAGUGCUUACUUAACAGAAAUAGAUACAAAAGUGAGGUAAAUUUUACAAUAAAAAAAGCAAUGAAGUUUCUUCUCUCUUUUUGUUAAUUUAUAUAAAUAGCAGAGCGGGUCCAUUUUUGUUGUUCUUUAAUGACCAAAGAAUGUUUUCGUCAAAUAUUUGUAUAAACUAACAUUUGUAAUAUUCGUAUUUCAAGAACCUUCGAAAAAGGCGAAGAAGAAAAUGGUAAACUUGGAAAUAGAAAAUAUAUUUAAAUAUUCGUAUCGUUUUCAAUAAAAAUAUUUGCCACAUGAUAGCAGCAUCAAUUUUCUCAGACCUAUUAUUUCAAAAAGAUUUAAACAAUAUUUUUUAUUUCCUGAAAAGUUUAAAUUUUUCUUUCUCAGUUUUUGUUACUACUAAAUCAA